rnacentral:lncRNA from 1 species
UGAGAUGGGUAAAAGGAGUGUUUGGAGUUUGGUGGAGAAGUGCUGGAGAUUGAGGGAGUUGAGGUUUCUAUGAGGUUGGAGAGUUGAUGGUGGUAAAAUUUUGGUAUGGGGUAUGCAGAUGUUAAAUGUUAGCAGAUGGUGGUCAGAUAAAGGAAAUGGAAAAGUGGCGAGAUCAGAGGUGGUACAGAAAUUAGUGAAGAUGAGGUCAAGAGUGUUUCCUGCAGUGUGAGUUGCUGAGGAAGAAAUCUGUGUGAGUCCAAAGGAGGAGGUUACAGAGAGCAGACGAGGGGCAUCAGGGCAGUUGAGCUUGUUGAUAGGGAUAUUGAAGUCCCCAAGUAUGAGAGAGGGAGUGCUAGAGGAAAGAAAGUGGGGUAAACAGGAGGAAAGGUGUUCAAGAAAUAGUUUAGGGUGACUGGGGGGGGGCGAUAGAUGAUGGCAAUUCUUAAAGGUGUGGGCUUAAAAAGGCG